rnacentral:lncRNA from 1 species
GUGACAAUGCGGUGACAAUGUCACGACACAGUGGUGACAACAUGGUGGCAGUGUGACAACGUGACAGUGACAACGAGGUGACACUGUGGUGACAAUGUCGCGACAGGAUGGUGACAGCAUGGCGACAAGGUGGCAUGAUGGUGGCGGGAUGGUGACAAUGUCGCGACGCAGCGGUGACAACAUGGUGACAAGGUGGUGGCACUGUGGUGGUAAUGUCACGACAUGCUGGUGACACUGCGGUGACACUGUGGGGACAAAAGCAGCAACAGCGCGGUGACAUGAUGGUGACAAUGUCACGACAUGAAGGUGAUGGUGUGGUGUCAAGAUGGUGACAGUGUCACGACAGGAUGGUGGCACUGCGGUGACACUGCGGUGACAAAAGCAGCGACAGCGUGGUGACAGCGUGGCGACACGAUGCUGACGAUGUCACGACAUGAUGGUGCCCAGCGUAACGACAUGAUGUUGGCAGUGUCACAACAGGAUGGUGGCACUGCAGUGACACUGUGGGGACCAGCAUCACGACAUGAUGCUGGCAGUGUCACGACAUGCUGGUGGCAGUGUCACGACAUGAUGCUGGCAGUGUCACGACAUGAUGGUAGCAGUGUCACGACAGGAUGGUGACCAGCGUCACGACAUGCUGGUGGCAGUGUCACGACAUGAUGCUGGCAGUGUCACGACAUGAUGGUAGCAGUGUCACGACAUGCUGGUGACCAGCAUCACAACACGAUGGUGGCAGUGUCACGACAUGAUGGUGACCAGCGUCACGACAUGAUGCUGGCAGUGUCACGACAUGAUGGUAGCAGUGUCACAACAGGAUGG